UCCGUAGCAUUUUCAAAACCAUUCGCCUG
rnacentral:piRNA from 1 species